rnacentral:rRNA from 1 species
GACGAACGCUGGCGGCGUGCUUAACACAUGCAAGUCGAACGGAAAGGCCCUGCUUUUGUGGGGUGCUCGAGUGGCGAACGGGUGAGUAACACGUGAGUAACCUGCCCUUGACUUUGGGAUAACUUCAGGAAACUGAGGCUAAUACCGGAUAGGAGCUCCUGCUGCAUGGUGGGGGUUGGAAAGUUUCGGCGGUUGGGGAUGGACUCGCGGCUUAUCAGCUUGUUGGUGGGGUAGUGGCUUACCAAGGCUUUGACGGGUAGCCGGCCUGAGAGGGUGACCGGCCACAUUGGGACUGAGAUACGGCCCAGACUCCUACGGGGGGCAGCAGUGGGGAAUAUUGCACAAUGGGCGGAAGCCUGAUGCAGCAACGCCGCGUGCGGGAUGACGGCCUUCGGGUUGUAAACCGCUUUCGCCUGUGACGAAGCGUGAGUGACGGUAAUGGGUAAAGAAGCACCGGCUAACUACGUG